ACAACCACCCCACCCCCAAUGUUAACAUCCAACCAGGAGAUCAAGGUCGCCUACUCGCCUUCACCUGAGAUCGUCAUCAGUCGCACGAAACAGGAAGGAGAUAAGAGGCAAGUGGAUACAGUGAAGAAGUGUGUGAACAUCCUUUUAGACGCCACAAAGGGUCGCUAUUGCCAUACGCCAACUGGUGACCAGGGAAAGACACCGAUCUAGAUUUGUUAGGGGCAGUGGCGGAAGUACCUCCUGCGCUGUGUGUUUCUCCUUGUAGAAGUUAUUUGGGGGUGUUCAUAAUACAUCGGUACGUUUGGAUAUUUCCAAAAGGUAGAAUUCAGCAAAUAUAUGGGGUUUUUCUAGGUUGAACAUUAUUACCUGUGCCCAAGUAAUGGUGUGUACAUGAGGCCCAGGUAUACCUUUAUAGUUUGAAGCAGCGAUUGAAUACCAUCCAAAAAUAGCAUUUGUCGAAUACACAAUAGCUUAGUACACGUUAACAAAACCUAGCAGGAAAUGGCUGUGUGCUAGAAGGUCCUUUGUAUUUGACAAAAUCUACUCUGGAAGCAUUCACAAGUUCAGUAGAAAAGACACAG
rnacentral:lncRNA from 7 species